rnacentral:rRNA from 1 species
GACGAACGCUGGCGGCGUGCUUAACACAUGCAAGUCGAACGGAAAGGCCCUGCUUUUGUGGGGUGCUCGAGUGGCGAACGGGUGAGUAACACGUGAGUAACCUGCCCUUGACUUUGGGAUAACUUCAGGGAACUGGGGCUAAUACCGGAUAGGAGCUCCUGCUGCAUGGUGGGGGUUGGAAAGUUUCGGCGGUUGGGGAUGGACUCGCGGCUUAUCAGCUUGUUGGUGGGGUAGUGGCUUACCAAGGCUUUGACGGGUAGCCGGCCUGAGAGGGUGACCGGCCACAUUGGGACUGAGAUACGGCCCAGACUCCUACGGGAGGCAGCAGUGGGGAAUAUUGCACAAUGGGCGGAAGCCUGAUGCAGCAACGCCGCGUGCGGGAUGACGGCCUUCGGGUUGUAAACCGCUUUCGCCUGUGACGAAGCGUGAGUGACGGUAAUGGGUAAAGAAGCACCGGCUAACUACGUGCCAGCAGCCGCGGUGAUACGUAGGGUGCGAGCGUUGUCCGGAUUUAUUGGGCGUAAAGGGCUCGUAGGUGGUUGAUCGCGUCGGAAGUGUAAUCUUGGGGCUUAACCCUGAGCGUGCUUUCGAUACGGGUUGACUUGAGGAAGGUAGGGGAGAAUGGAAUUCCUGGUGGAGCGGUGGAAUGCGCAGAUAUCAGGAGGAACACCAGUGGCGAAGGCGGUUCUCUGGGCCUUUCCUGACGCUGAGGAGCGAAAGCGUGGGGAGCGAACAGGCUUAGAUACCCUGGUAGUCCACGCUGUAAACGGUGGGUACUAGGUGUGGGGUCCAUUCCACGGGUUCCGUGCCGUAGCUAACGCUUUAAGUACCCCGCCUGGGGAGUACGGCCGCAAGGCUAAAACUCAAAGGAAUUGACGGGGCCCCGCACAAGCGGCGGAGCAUGCGGAUUAAUUCGAUGCAACGCGUAGAACCUUACCUGGGUUUGACAUGGAUCGGGAGUGCUCAGAGAUGGGUGUGCCUCUUUUGGGGUCGGUUCACAGGUGGUGCAUGGCUGUCGUCAGCUCGUGUCGUGAGAUGUUGGGUUAAGUCCCGCAACGAGCGCAACCCUUGUUCACUGUUGCCAGCACGUUAUGGUGGGGACUCAGUGGAGACCGCCGGGGUCAACUCGGAGGAAGGUGGGGAUGACGUCAAGUCAUCAUGCCCCUUAUGUCCAGGGCUUCACGCAUGCUACAAUGGCUGGUACAGAGAGUGGCGAGCCUGUGAGGGUGAGCGAAUCUCGGAAAGCCGGUCUCAGCUCGGAUUGGGGUCUGCAACUCGACCUCAUGAAGUCGGAGUCGCUAGUAAUCGCAGAUCAGCAACGCUGCGGUGAAUACGUUCCCGGGGCU